CUACGGGAUGCAGCAGUGGGGAAUAUUGCACAAUGGGGGAAACCCUGAUGCAGCAACGCCGCGUGGAGGAUGACACAUUUCGGUGCGUAAACUCCUUUUAUAUAAGAAGAUAAUGACGGUAUUAUAUGAAUAAGCACCGGCUAACUCCGUGCCAGCAGCCGCGGUAAUACGGAGGGUGCAAGCGUUAUUCGGAAUCACUGGGCGUAAAGGGUGCGUAGGCGGUUUGGAAAGUCAGGUGUGAAAGCCCGGGGCUCAACUCCGGAACUGCACUUGAAACUUCCAGACUAGAAUACUGAAGGGGCAGAUGGAAUUAGUGGUGUAGGGGUAAAAUCCGUAGAUAUCACUAGGAAUACCGAAAGCGAAAGCGAUCUGCUGGGAAGUUAUUGACGCUGAGGCACGAAAGCGUGGGGAGCAAACAGGAUUAGAUACCCGUGUAGUC
rnacentral:rRNA from 1 species